AUUCCAGCUCCAAGAGCGUAUAUUAAAGUUGUUGCAGUUAAAAAGCUCGUAGUCGAAUUUCGGGUUGAUCUCCUCGGUCGGUCUUUAUGGCUUGUACUGUUGAGGUCAUCCUUACCUUCUGGGGAUCUAUUCUGCCCUUUAUUGAGUGGGAUAGCUAUCCAGGACUUUUACUUUGAGAAAAAUAGAGUGUUCAAAGCAGGCGAUUGCUCGAAUACAUUAGCAUGGAAUAAUAAAAUAGGACUUUGGUUUUAUUUUGUUGGUUUGGGAACCAAAGUAAUGAUUAAUAGGGACAGUCGGGGGCAUUAGUACUCAAUAGUCAGAGGUGAAAUUCUUGGAUUUAUUGAAGACUAACUACUGCGAAAGCAUUUGCCAAGGAUGUUUUCAUCA
rnacentral:rRNA from 1 species